UUUAUAUGUUUGAGUUUUAAUUGUCGUUUGUCUCAGGUACUUUUUAACUUCCUUUUUUAUUUCCUCAUUGACCCUUUGGUUUUUUAGUAGGAUGUUGUUUAGUCUCCCUGUAGUCAAUUUUUUCUCAUUUCUUUUCCUGUGGUUGAUUUCUAGUUUCAUGCCAUUGUGGU